UAAUACGUAGGUGGCAAGCGUUGUCCGGAUUUAUUGGGCGUAAAGCGCGCGCAGGCGGUCCUUUAAGUCUGAUGUGAAAUCUUGCGGCUCAACCGCAAGCGGUCAUUGGAAACUGGGGGACUUGAGUGCAGAAGAGGAAAGCGGAAUUCCACGUGUAGCGGUGAAAUGCGUAGAGAUGUGGAGGAACACCAGUGGCGAAGGCGGCUUUCUGGUCUGUAACUGACGCUGAGGCGCGAAAGCGUGGGGAGCAAACAGGAUUAGAUACCCUGGUAGUCCACGCCGUAAACGAUGAGUGCUAAGUGUUGGAAGGUUUCCGCCCUUCAGUGCUGCAGCUAACGCAUUAAGCACUCCGCCUGGGGAGUACGGUCGCAAGACUGAA
rnacentral:rRNA from 1 species